UGGUUGCUAAAUUAAUGUCUGAACACAGAUUU
rnacentral:piRNA from 1 species